rnacentral:rRNA from 1 species
UGGGGAAUUUUGGACAAUGGGCGAAAGCCUGAUCCAGCCAUGCCGCGUGAGUGAAGAAGGCCUUCGGGUUGUAAAGCUCUUUUAGUCGGAAAGAAAGAGUUGCAAUGAAUAAUUGUGAUUUAUGACGGUACCGACAGAAAAAGCACCGGCUAACUACGUGCCAGCAGCCGCGGUAAUACGUAGGACCCAAGCGUCGUCCGGAUUUACUGGGUGUAAAGGGUGCGCAGGCGGAUGGGUAAGUCAGGGGUGAAAGUCUGCAGCUUAACUGUAGAAUUGCCUUUGAUACUGCUCAUCUUGAGUGUGGGAGAGGUUGAUGGAAUUCCAGGUGUAGCAGUGAAAUGCGUAGAUAUCUGGAAGAACACCAGUGGCGAAGGCGGUCAACUGGCCCAUAACUGACGCUCAUGCACGAAAGCGUGGGGAGCAAACA